GCCGCAAUCGUCUAGUGGUUAGGACAUUAGUUUGUGGAAACCAAACUGUGCACUGAAAACGGCGGUUCGAUUCCGCCUUGUGGCA
rfam:Stachybotrys chartarum IBT 40288 unplaced genomic scaffold scaffold941, whole genome shotgun sequence.